GACGAACGCUGGCGGCGUGCUUAACACAUGCAAGUCGAACGGAAAGGCCCUGCUUGCGUGGUAUUCUCGAGUGGCAAACGGGUGAGUAACACGUGAGUAACGUGCUAUACAUUUUGGUAUAACUUCAGGAAACGGGGUCUAAUACCGUAUAGGAGCUCCUGCUGGAGGGGGGGGGUUGGAAAUUUUUGGCGGUUGGGGAUGGACGCGCGGCUUAUCAGUUUGUUGGUGGGGUAGUGGCUUACCAAGCCGCUGACGGGUAGCCGGCCUGAGAGGGUGACCGGCCACAUUGGGACUGAGAUACGGCCAGGCUGCCAAGGGGGGGAAGCGGUGGGAAAAAUGGCCCAAUGGGGGGAAGCCGGUUCAAGGACGCCGCGGGGCGGAAGGCGGGCUUUCGGUUUUAAAACCGCUUCGGUCGGUGACGAGGCUUUUGUGACGGUACUUAGAUAAGAAGCACCGGCUAACUACGUG
rnacentral:rRNA from 1 species